rnacentral:rRNA from 1 species
AGGAAGGUGGGGAUGACGUCAAAUCAUCAUGCCCCUUAUGACCUGGGCUACACACGUGCUACAAUGGCGUAUACAACGAGUUGCCAACCCGCGAGGGUGAGCUAAUCUCUUAAAGUACGUCUCAGUUCGGAUUGUAGGCUGCAACUCGCCUACAUGAAGUCGGAAUCGCUAGUAAUCGCGGAUCAGCACGCCGCGGUCAACCUUACCAGGUCUUGACAUCCCUUGACAACUCCAGAGAUGGAGRGUUCCCUUCGGGGACAAGGUGACAGGUGGUGCAUGGUUGUCGUCAGCUCGUGUCGUGAGAUGUUGGGUUAAGUCCCGCAACGAGCGCAACCCUUAUUACUAGUUGCCAGCAUUCAGUUGGGCACUCUAGUGAGACUGCCGGUGACAAACCGCAAACAGGAUUAGAUACCCUGGUAGUCCACACCGUAAACGAUGAGUGCUAGGUGUUUGAGGGUUUCCGCCCUUAAGUGCCGCAGCUAACGCAUUAAGCACUCCGCCUGGGGAGUACGACCGCAAGGUUGAAACUCAAAGGAAUUGACGGGGACCCGCACAAGCGGUGGAGCAUGUGGUUUAAUUCGAAGCAACGCGAAGCAGACGGUUAUUUAAGUCUGAAGUGAAAGCCCUCAGCUCAACUGAGGAAUUGCUUUGGAAACUGGAUGACUUGAGUGCAGUAGAGGAAAGUGGAACUCCAUGUGUAGCGGUGAAAUGCGUAGAUAUAUGGAAGAACACCAGUGGCGAAGGCGGCUUUCUGGACUGUAACUGACGUUGAGGCUCGAAAGUGUGGGUAGCGCCUGAUGGAGCAACGCCGCGUGUGUGAUGAAGGGUUUCGGCUCGUAAAACACUGUUGUAAGAGAAGAAUGACAUUGAGAGUAACUGUUCAAUGUGUGACGGUAUCUUACCAGAAAGGAACGGCUAAAUACGUGCCAGCAGCCGCGGUAAUACGUAUGUUCCAAGCGUUAUCCGGAUUUAUUGGGCGUAAAGCGAGCUGCAUGGUUGUUAUUUAAAAGAUGGUUCUGCUAUCACUAAGAGAUGGUCCCGCGGUGCAUUAGCUAGUUGGUAAGGUAAUGGCUUACCAAGGCGAUGAUGCAUAGCCGAGUUGAGAGACUGAUCGGCCACAAUGGGACUGAGACACGGCCCAUACUCCUACGGGAGGCAGCAGUAGGGAAUCUUCCACAAUGGGCGAAGCUCAGGAUGAACGCUGGCGGCGUGCCUAAUACAUGCAAGUCGAACGCUUUGUGGUUCAACUGAUUUGAAGAGCUUGCUCAGAUAUGACGAUGGACAUUGCAAAGAGUGGCGAACGGGUGAGUAACACGUGGGAAACCUACCUCUUAGCAGGGGAUAACAUUUGGAAACAGAUGCUAAUACCGUAUAACAAUGACAACC